UGGGGAAUUUUGGACAAUGGGCGAAAGCCUGAUCCAGCAAUGCCGCGUGUGUGAAGAAGGCCUUCGGGUUGUAAAGCACUUUUGUCCGGAAAGAAAUCCUUGGCUCUAAUACAGUCGGGGGAUGACGGUACCGGAAGAAUAAGCACCGGCUAACUACGUGCCAGCAGCCGCGGUAAUACGUAGGGUGCAAGCGUUAAUCGGAAUUACUGGGCGUAAAGCGUGCGCAGGCGGUUUGCUAAGACCGAUGUGAAAUCCCCGGGCUCAACCUGGGAACUGCAUUGGUGACUGGCAGGCUAGAGUAUGGCAGAGGGGGGUAGAAUUCCACGUGUAGCAGUGAAAUGCGUAGAGAUGUGGAGGAAUACCGAUGGCGAAGGCAGCCCCCUGGGCCAAUACUGACGCUCAUGCACGAAAGCGUGGGGAGCAAAACAGGAUUAGAUACCCUGGUAGUCCACGCCCUAAAACGAUGUCAACUAGUUGUUGGGGAUUCAUUUCCUUAGUAACGUAGCUAACGCGUGAAGUUGACCGCCUGGGGAGUACGGUCGCAAGAUUAAAACUUAAAUGAAUUGACGGGGUCAUAGCUGUUUCCU
rnacentral:rRNA from 1 species